rnacentral:rRNA from 1 species
UGGGGAAUUUUGGACAAUGGGCGAAAGCCUGAUCCAGCAAUGCCGCGUGUGUGAAGAAGGCCUUCGGGUUGUAAAGCACUUUUGUCCGGAAAGAAAUCCUUGGCUCUAAUACAGUCGGGGGAUGACGGUACCGGAAGAAUAAGCACCGGCUAACUACGUGCCAGCAGCCGCGGUAAUACGUAGGGUGCAAGCGUUAAUCGGAAUUACUGGGCGUAAAGCGUGCGCAGGCGGUUUGCUAAGACCGAUGUGAAAUCCCCGGGCUCAACCUGGGAACUGCAUUGGUGACUGGCAGGCUAGAGUAUGGCAGAGGGGGGUAGAAUUCCACGUGUAGCAGUGAAAUGCGUAGAGAUGUGGAGGAAUACCGAUGGCGAAGGCAGCCCCCUGGGCCAAUACUGACGCUCAUGCACGAAAGCGUGGGGAGCAAACAGGAUUAGAUACCCUGGUAGUCCACGCCCUAAACGAUGUCAACUAGUUGUUGGGAUUCAUUUCCUAGUAACGUAGCUAACGCGUGAAGUUGACCGCCUGGGGAGUACGGUCG